rnacentral:rRNA from 1 species
CCGGGAUAACCCUCCGAAAGGAGAGCUAAUACCGGAUACCCCCAUCAGAUCGCAUGGUCAGAUGAGGAAAUGCAUUGUGCUUCGGGAGGGCCUCGCGGCCUAUCAGCUUGUUGGUGGGGUAACGGCCCACCAAGGCGUCGACGGGUAGCUGGUCUGAGAGGACGAUCAGCCACACUGGGACUGAGACACGGCCCAGACUCCUACGGGAGGCAGCAGUUAGGAAUCUUGCGCAAUGGGCGAAAGCCUGACGCAGCAACGCCGCGUGGGGGAUGAAGGCCCUCGGGUUGUAAACCCCUUUCAGUCGGGACGAAAAUGACGGUACCGACAGAAGAAGCCCCGGCCAACUACGUGCCAGCAGCCGCGGUGACACGUAGGGGGCAAGCGUUGUCCGGAUUUAUUGGGCGUAAAGGGCUCGUAGGCGGUUCGACAAGUCGGGUGUGAAACCUCCAGGCUCAACCUGGAGUCGCCGCUCGAAACUGUUGUGACUAGAGUCCGGUAGAGGAGCAUGGAAUUUGUGGUGUAGCGGUGGAAUGCGCAGAUAUCACAAGGAACACCAGUAGCGAAGGCGAUGCUCUGGGCCGGUACUGACGCUGAGGAGCGAAAGCAUGGGGAGCGAACAGGAUUAGAUACCCUGGUAGUCCAUGCCGUAGACGUUGGGCA